CGCAAUCAGGUUAGGACACGUGUCUUAAGGGGUCGCUGUUUUUUGCGGCAUUCCUAGAAGUUUGGGCCUCCUGAUGUAAGGAGGCCUAGCCUUUUACCCUUAUGUCAUUCUCUUUAUUUCAGGUGCUCUAUUGUUUGUUUUUUGUAUGUGUCAUCUUCCUAUGGCGUAUCUCUAAAUUAUUAUUGUUCUCAUCAUCAUUUAUUAAUUCUAGCCUCGUCCGAAGACGAAGAUGAUCAAAAUUCUGAUCACUCGAAACAAUAUUCUCAACAUGAUGUAAAUUCUAAUGAUGAAGGUGAUCAUCCUUGUUCUUGGAUAUAGCUUGUAAUUUUUUUUUUUUUAAAAAAAAAUAUUAUUGUAAUUUAAUUUAAGAAAAAUUCACUAAACAUGAUUUCUGUUUGACAGGUACUUGUGAUACUAAUUCAGUUUCGGUAUUUCUUUGAUUUUGUUUAGCCGUUUCACUAUCUAGUCCCUCUUUUGUGUUUAACUUCUUAUGAUAUGAUCACUCAACCCUAUGAUGUUCUUGUGCUCAUCCUAGACGUGUUAAAUCUUAUGAUGGAGCAUUCACUUUUCAACCCCAUUUGUUCAGUUUUCAACCUCAUUCACUCACUUUUAGUUGCAUGUCUUUUCAUCCUUGAGUAAUAUUGUUGCUGGCAAAUAUCGUGUGCAGCCCAAGUUUGACAGCUCGGGAGUUGCAAAGGCAGAGAUUACAUCUCAGAUGAGCCUGAAGAUAACAUCUCAGAUCAUAAGUUUAAUUGGGUUGAUUAUAUUGACCGUGUGUAUGCAGAGGCAGAGAUUACUUGUACUUGCCCUGCACCUACAAGUCCAGAGGUAAACAUUAGUAUGUUUGUCCGUAUAAAUUUAAUAAAUUGAGAGAUAAAAUCAUUGUCCAUUAGAGAUAAAUGAAGUAGAUGUCAUUGUGCAUUAUUGUACAUUAAAAUCCUGGUUUCGCCACUGAUAUUUUGCAUGUCACGCAAUAGUGAAUUGUGUUAUUUAUACUGCCCUUAUGCUGGAUGUUUUAGUGCCAAGAUGCACAGGGAGCAGCUUAGAAAGAUGCAAGGCGAUAGUAGAAUUCGUUCUAUUCUUCCGGCAGAUUACCUUUGCAAUUGCUAGGCCGGAUCUAAGGCUACUUCUUGGAUCUCUUGAUGAUCGUUUGUUGACAUCGAUUUUCUGUGUGAAGGUGUAGACCCAAUGCACAAUCAUGUGAAUUGAACUUUGCAUAUAAUCAUGUGAAUUUUAGCCUCACAUUUCUCACAACCUAAAACAUAUUUAAGGAACAAUAGGGAAUUAUUCUACCUCCAUUAACCUCCCUCUUUUGUACUACCUCCAUUAAUAGUUAUCUGCAACUUUGGGUAUUA